CUGCGCCACAAGUGGCAACCAGCAUUAUUGGGCCUAAAGCGUCCGUAGCCGGUUUUGUAAAUUCUUUGUGAAAUCGUCGUGCUUAACAUGACGGUGUGCUAGGAAAACUGCAAAACUUGAGACCGGGAGGAGUCAGAAGUAUUUCUUGGGGAGCGGUAAAAUGCUAUAAUCCUUGAAAGACUACCUGUGGCGAAGGCGUCUGACUAGAACGGUUCUGACGGUGAGGGACGAAAGCCAGGGGAGCGAUCCGGAUUAGAUACCCGAGUAGUCC
rnacentral:rRNA from 1 species